AACGAACGCUGGCGGCAUGCCUAACACAUGCAAGUCGAACGAGACCUUCGGGUCUAGUGGCGCACGGGUGCGUAACGCGUGGGAACCUGCCCUUAGGUUCGGAAUAACUCCCCGAAAGGGGUGCUAAUACCGGAUAAUGUCUUCGGACCAAAGAUUUAUCGCCUUUGGAUGGGCCCGCGUUGGAUUAGCUAGUUGGUAGGGUAAAAGCCUACCAAGGCGACGAUCCAUAGCUGGUCUGAGAGGAUGAUCAGCCACACUGGGACUGAGACACGGCCCAGACCCCCGCGGAGGGGGGCAGGGGGGAAGAUGGGACAAGGGGCGAAAGCCUGACCCACAAUGGCCGGGGGAGGGAUGAAGGCCUUAGGGUUUAAAACCUCUUUUCCCCGGGCUGAUAAGGACAGGCCCGGGGGAAAAAGCCCCGGCAAACCCCGU
rnacentral:rRNA from 1 species